rnacentral:rRNA from 1 species
CCUACGGGAGGCAGCAGUGGGGAAUAUUGGGCAAUGGGCGCAAGCCUGACCCAGCAACGCCGCGUGAAGGAAGAAGGCCCUCGGGUUGUAAACUUCUUUUGUCAGGGACGAAACAAAUGACGGUACCUGACGCAUAAGCCACGGCUAACUACGUGCCAGCAGCCGCGGUAAUACGUAGGUGGCAAGCGUUAUCCGGAUUUACUGGGUGUAAAGGGCGAGUAGGCGGGAGAGCAAGUCAGAUGUGAAAUUCCAGGGCUCAACCCUGGAACUGCAUUUGAAACUGUUUUUCUUGAGUGAGGGAGAGGCAGGCGGAAUUCCGUGUGUAGCGGUGAAAUGCGUAGAUAUACGGAGGAACACCAGUGGCGAAGGCGGCCUGCUGGACAUUAACUGACGCUGAGGCGCGAAAGCGUGGGGAGCAAACAGGAUUAGAUACCCCUGUAGUC